GGGGCCAGGUCCAGGGCAAAACGCAGUCAGCCAUUCAGGAAACCAGUCUUGGGAAACGCGAUCGAGGAGGGAUUGAAGAUUAGACAGUUUGAUGUUGUUGUUGCUGUUGGUUGUUGUUUCUCUCUCUCUCUCUCUCUCUCUCUCUUUCUCUUUCCCAAAGAAAUACAAAAGCAAUUGGAUGUGACUAAUUCGCAGAGGAGACGAAUUCACGGCGAAGUGUAAAAAUAUAGAAUAUGAAUAAUAAUGGCACACGCAGAAAACGAGAGAUCCAAAGUUUCCUCGGAACCUGGAUCGCUUCAGCUGGCACCCAGAACCCCGGCCAAACCAGGCUUCACCAGAGCUGUGCAGAGACCAUCCAGUUCACUGACUACUCCAUGGAACUCAAGAACAACCGUCAUUAGAGAGGAUAAAGGGAAGCAAUCUGUAGCCUCCUCUCUCCCCCACGCCCUGCAGUUUCUCAUCUCAAUAGGCACACAGGGCUGCCUUGUCAGAACACACUGAACAACAACUGGCUAUUCACGCAUAGAAAGGUUUUCCGUAAGUGUCCCAUUAAUGUACUGCCCUAUGCUGGAAUGUGAGAUUUGAUGGGCUCAAAUACAGAGAAAUUUUGUUGCAAGGACUCAAGCAUCUUGUGCAAAGCUUUCAAAAUGUAAG
rnacentral:lncRNA from 1 species